rnacentral:rRNA from 1 species
GAUGAACGCUGGCGGCGUGCCUAAUACAUGCAAGUCGAGCGAACAGACGAGGAGCUUGCUCCUCUGACGUUAGCGGCGGACGGGUGAGUAACACGUGGAUAACCUACCUAUAAGACUGGGAUAACUUCGGGAAACCGGAGCUAAUACCGGAUAAUAUAUUGAACCGCAUGGUUCAAUAGUGAAAGACGGUUUUGCUGUCACUUAUAGAUGGAUCCGCGCCGCAUUAGCUAGUUGGUAAGGUAACGGCUUACCAAGGCAACGAUGCGUAGCCGACCUGAGAGGGUGAUCGGCCGCACUGGAACUGAGACACGGUCCAGACUCCUACGGGAGGCAGCAGUAGGGAAUCUUCCGCAAUGGGCGAAAGCCUGACGGAGCAACGCCGCGUGAGUGAUGAAGGUCUUCGGAGCGUAAAACUCUGUUAUUAGGGAAGAACAAAUGUGUAAGUAACUAUGCACGUCUUGACGGUACCUAAUCAGAAAGCCACGGCUAACUACGUG